UAAACUGGUCCAGCGGAAGAUCUUCCGAACGCAGCCGGUAAGAUCGAUCUAUCGUUCUUCCGCCAUGCUCCUGCGGGAGAUUCCUCCGCCGCCGCUAUCUCUCCAUUCCUCAACUCCGGCGCCACAGCCCCGCCCUCCCCUACCCCAAUACUGCCUCGGCGGCGGCGGCCUUGGCCCUUGUCUCCGCGUGGAUCCAAGGUCGACGGCGCCGUUCUCGUCGCUCGACAAGGCGGCCAAGCCCACCACGCGGUUCCCGGAGCGGUGCUUGGCUGCCCGAGCUCGUCACGCGGUUCGCGGUUCUGGGAGCAGGGUUAGGCGCUCGUUGCGCCCCGCGCGAGCAUGUCGCCAAUCUGUACUCCACCGCCCACGCGCAGCGUUGUGCAACCAAUGAGCUGACGGGCCUCGCCGCGCCGUCGCCUGAUGCGCGAUCCUGGACUCUAGACUCCAGAGGUACUAGAUUGAAGAAUUUGUAGUCCAGAGGUACUAGACUCCAAAGGUACGAGGAGAUCUGGACUCGCCAGCUUGGUAGGCGUGUUGGCCCCGCUAAUCUCCUGCAAGUACAAGGAGAUCUGGACUUCAGAGGCCAACCAUUUCAUCUUUAUAUCAGAUAGUGCCUACACUGGGGAGCAGACACUGAGGAUGGAGAAAGCGAUUUUGAACAAGCUUUAGUGGUACCUGACCGCUCCUACACCAUAUGUCUUCCUUAUGUGCUUUACAAAGGCAAUGUAUUCAUCUGAUUCGAAGAAGGAUAAGGAGUUAAUCAUCAAAUACGCCACGAUAAGUAAAUUCAUAUGUACUACUGUAAGCUUGAAUAUAUCAUAAAGUGAGUUUGUGUACUGUAGAAGUUUCUGUAAUUGAUUAUGCAGAUGGAGAACAUGGUGUUCUUCUUUGCUGAGUUAGCUCUGAUGGAGUACAUGGUUGUUCCUGUUGUUGUCUACAUGCUUGUAAAGUGAAGGAGAAGGUAGUCCUAGGUUCUGUUUGUCCUACCUAAACAUGAAGACAUGCUAGUGCUACAUGUGAUUCUCCAAAACUAAUGGACAAGGUUCAAAAAAUCUCUCGAAUAUGUCAAUGAGAGAAUCCAUCUCGUAUUUCAGUCGUCAUGGAUCGCCUGCCUUAGAUGACUCUGAUCUGCCAAGCUCCAAUGUGCUUGUCAUGACACAUCUAUUGCACAGAAAAUGAUGAACGUUUGUGCUUUCUAAAAUGCAAUGUGCCAAGGAAUGCAGUUUGUCAAUCCGGGAGAACCUUCUCAAGAAGUAUGCUAAAGAGAUGGUAAACUAUUGCACAACGGCUUCAAGCAAUAGUCUACAAGCUGCAUUGGCUUCAGCAGUCCACCUUUUGAAUGAGAAGAACACCAAAUUUAACAAUUAGAGAUGAAAUUUGACUCUAUAUGUAAAGAACUGCAAGCACGUAGCUCAUGAAAUAUUCGUAUCAAAGUUUAAAUCUUGUAUGUGCCACCAUUGUUGGGGCACGAGUAGAUGAUUUUUCUUAGGUCUGAAAUGGCACAUCGGGAGUUUUGCUUUGUUA